rnacentral:rRNA from 1 species
GAUGAACGCUGACAGAAUGCUUAACACAUGCAAGUCUUUGGCGAAUCUGUGCUUGCACAGGCUAGCCAAGGCGGACGGGUGAGUAACGCGUAAAGAACUUGCCCUGCAGACAGGGAUAACAGACGGAAACGACUGAUAACACCUGAUACAGUUGCCGGCACGCAUGUGCCUGGCAAUGAAAAGAGAUGCUGCAGGAGAGCUUUGCGUCCUAUUAGCUUGUUGGUGAGGUGACGGCUCACCAAGGCGAUGAUAGGUAGCCGGCCUGAGAGGGUGAACGGCCACAAGGGGACUGAGAUACGGCCCUUACUCCUACGGGAGGCAGCAGUGGGGAAUAGUGGACAAUGGGGGCAACCCUGAUCCAGCAAUUCUGUGUGCACGAAGAAGGUUUUCGGAGUGUAAAGUGCUUUCAGCAGGGAAGAAGAAAGUGACGGUACCUGCAGAAGAAGCGACGGCUAAAUACGUG